rnacentral:lncRNA from 1 species
UGGAGUGGUGUCCGUUGUCAUGACUUGCUAGAGAGUGAUGGAACCACGCAAAAUCCGUUGCAGAGAGUGGAGUAGGGUAGUGGCCAUUGUCGUGACUUGCCAGAGAGUUUGGAUUUAUCAGCUGGAGCUUGACUGGGAUGUCUGAUGAAGUGGAAUGACUCUCUAUCCCGUCGAUCUAGGAGAAGCUCGGAUGUUUUCGAGGUUGCUGACGCGUCUACUAUUAUCAGAUGCCUCAGAUGCUGAUGCUAUAGG